rnacentral:sRNA from 1 species
UGCUUAGAGUCUGCAACGGAAUACGGUC